UCGAGAAUAGUCUACAAUGGACGAAGUCUGAUAGUGCGACGCCGCGUGAACGAAGAAGCCCUCUGGGUGUAAAGUUCUUUAUAUGUGAGCAAGGCCUUAUAUGUGACAAGCAUAUGGGAGAGAUAUUAGCAUAUGAAUAAGCAACGGCUAACUCCGUGCCAGCAGCCGCGGUAACACGGGGUUGCGAGCGUUGUCCGGAAUUACAAGGCACACAGGGGAUAG
rnacentral:rRNA from 1 species